UGUGUGUGUCCACCUCCCCACAGACUUUCACAAACAUCGAUACUCCCAUUGCCUGAAUCUUUGUCAUAAUAUAAUCGAUACAUGGAACUCGAUCAUUGGAAUGAGGCAGUCCUGAGGAUAGGGUUGCUAACCUCAAGAGCUCAGGACUUAGCGAGGGCAACAUAGUGACUCCAUGUGGACCCUUGGACUGGAAAAUGAAAUCAGCAGGCUUCCAGACCCUGGCAUCCAGCCUGAGGACAACCCAUGUUCGGUGAACACAGUUGAUCCCCCUUCCGGAUAGAAUCUUCUGAGGAAGACAGUGUGAAGAUCUACUGAUGGAGGAAACUGGGUCCUGAGAAGAGCAGCAGAAAGAGUAUGGAUGCAAAAGAAGAAGAGAGGGAGCUGAAGGAGGAUCAGCUAAGGUCUUUAACUCUGCAUUUGGGGGAAGAUGAAGGAAAGAAAGAUAGAAAGAAAGAAAGAACGAAAGAAAGAAAGAAAGA